rnacentral:rRNA from 13 species
GAUGCCGAUCAUACCAGCACUAAAGCACCGGAUCCCAUCAGAACUCCGAAGUUAAGCGUGCUUGGGCGAGAGUAGUACUAGGAUAGGUGACCUCCGAAGUUAAGCGUGCUUGGGCGAGA